rnacentral:rRNA from 1 species
GACGAACGCUGGCGGCGUGCUUAACACAUGCAAGUCGAGCGGUAAGGCCCUUCGGGGUACACGAGCGGCGAACGGGUGAGUAACACGUGGGUGACCUGCCCUCAGCUUCGGGACAAGCCUGGGAAACCGGGUCUAAUACCGGAUAUGACUACGGGAAGCAUGUCCUGUGGUUGAACGUUUUUUCGGCUGGGGAUGGGCCCGCGGCCUAUCAGCUUGUUGGUGGGGUGAUGGCCUACCAAGGCGGUGACGGGUAGCCGGCCUGAGAGGGCCACCGGCCACACUGGGACUGAGACACGGCCCAGACUCCUACGGGAGGCAGCAGUGGGGAAUAUUGCGCAAUGGGCGGAAGCCUGACGCAGCGACGCCGCGUGGGGGAUGACGGCCUUCGGGUUGUAAACCUCUUUCGCCAGGGACGAAGCUUUUGUGACGGUACCUGGAGAAGAAGCACCGGCCAACUACGUGCCAGCCGCCGCGGUAACAC